rnacentral:lncRNA from 1 species
GGGCACUGAUGAGCAAAGGCAGAGCCAAAGGCUAAACUAGCAGGAGGAUGCCAAAGUUCCUGACAUUGGACUGAGUAGCGAAGGGAAGGCGUUCAGGAAAACAAGGGGGGAAUAUUACCCCAGCCCCCUCUAAAGGGGGAGUACCGAGAAUGAAAGAAUAGUUAAAACUGAGAAUUACCUGGAGUUGAGAACCUUCUAAAUUCUCUCCAGGAGGAUAUUUUCCCCAGAAGAAACCCAAGAGGAGGAUUCUAUAAACUGGAAGAGCCCUAAGGAAGGAGACCACUGAUUUAUCAUGGGAGCUGGUGUUCUGGUGAAAGGUCUUAUCCAAGAGGAGCAACCAAAUGGACUGGCCUAUGGAAAUGAGCCAAAGGGGCCAACUGCAGAGUUGCUGAGCUGUUAUCUGAGGGGGACUUACACAAGGCUGAGCUCCGCUUACCAGCUGAGGAUACAACACAGAGAGUUGACUGUCGUGAGAACCCGGAGUUGCGGUCAUAGGGAACAUAACUUCUCUCCCUCAGAAGAGCCAUCUACUACUGAACUGCUCAAUAAGAGACUCA